UACGGAGGGAGCUAGCGUUGUUCGGAAUUACUGGGCGUAAAGGGCGCGUAGGCGGUCUUGUAAGUCUUGUGUGAAAUCCCUCGGCUUAACUGAGGAACUGCACAGGAUACUGCGAGACUUGAGUUCGGGAGAGGGAAGCGGAAUUCCGGGUGUAGCGGUGAAAUGCGUAGAUAUCCGGAGGAACACCGGUGGCGAAGGCGGCUUCCUGGACCGACACUGACGCUGAGGCGCGAAAGCUAGGGGAGCAAACGGG
rnacentral:rRNA from 1 species